UUGCAGCAGACACAUCUGUCGUUCCCACUAGUCGCCCAGGUUAUGCAUUAUGCAGAUCUGUGAUGCGGGAUGGAGCGCCCCGCGAAAAUGCAAGAAAAGCUUUUCGGGCACAGCAUCGGCUUCUAUAUUGCCAAAAAACAUCAGUUAGCACCACAAGCUUAUACUAUUAGCAUGACAACAAGCUUUUCUCAUUGCCAACUGUGUUGUUGUUGGGAGUCUGCAGGGUUUUGUCAUUCCUUUAUUAGGGAGUUGGUUUUCUAGUUUUAGACCCAAACUCUUCACUGUUGCUUUAAUCCUAGACAUAACACUGGUGUUACCCUGUGAUAAUGACCUAAAUUUCCCUCGGGAUUAAUAAAGUAUCCAUCUAUCUAUCUAUCUAUAAAACGAAUGAUUCAAAAGACAGAAUCAGGUCAAGAUACAGUAUUUCAUUUUUUUAUUAUUUGAAAUGUGUUAAAACUCAUCUGUUGUGUACUUCUUUAAGUGAAGAUCUUAUCUUAUGGCUAAGAUAACAAUGAGCCCACGAAGGGAUUUGGCAUGUGUGAGGGCAUGGCCUGGGCUGUGUGCUUUGAGGUGGUUGCAAGGUGUUGCCAUGGUGAUUGUGCUGUUUGGCACUCAGUGACUGACCUGUCAGAGCACGCCAGGCCUGUUCCUUCAUUCGCUCUGGGAACACAGUGUGCCAUGAGGAACAAAACACUCUCACUCUGGCACACACCCUGCCUGACUCCGGAAUGCGUCAACCAGGACCAGGGCCACAUUAGGGUAGGACCGGGCCAGGAGCUGACUGAUCCGGGCCAAUUUGGACCUCUCAGCGAGUCCUGCUCAACUUCAGUGUAGCUGAAAACUGAAUUGCCUGAACUGCCUUGUGUGAGUGUGUGAAAACUGAGUGUUUAUUCAAAUAUUUCACAUUAAGUUGAACAAAUGACUCUCUGUUCAGUUGAAACAACGUAGUUGCUCAUAAAGAAUUAAGGAGUUGUAAAUACAACACAAAUGAAAAAAAAGAAAAAUAUAAAUAAUAUAAAUAAAAAAAGUGCAAAAUACAUUCAAGCGAACACUGCAUUAAUCACAUCUACAGACAUUCAUAUACUGCUCGACUCCCAUUAGAGUUGACAUCAUCUACAGUUUCUGAUAGAUGUGUUGAUCCCACUACUACACAGUGUGUCUUCACAAAUACACAAUCUAAUACACAUACAGCAACACAGACACAGCCAGAGCUGCAACACACACACACACACACACACAUACUAACACUGUUGGUCUGGAUAGUGCAGCCUACAAAAAUAUUCUCUCUCUCUCCGUCUCUCUCUCUCACACACACACACACACACACACAUCACUAACACCCAGUGUGAGCGGUAUCUAUAAUAAUAGUUGUCAGAUUUUCUUCGCACAAUAUCUCACAAUAUCUCACAAUAUCGUAUCUGCAUUGUGUUUAGGUGGCAUGAGUCCUCUGAGUCCUGUAGUCAUCCAUUUAAGCUGCCCAGAUCUGAGCAGGGGGAACAUCAACAUCGAACAGUUCACAGUAACGUUCUUCCCUAGCUUCAGAAGAGGGCCUCCUCUACAGGAAGGGUUUACAAUGAGGGGGAACCUCCUCAGAACAGUUCAGAGUGAGGGUCCCCUUGGUUUCAGAGGAGGGAUUCCUCUACAGGACCAGUCUGGGUGGAGGAGCAGUCUCUGCCCCCCUACAGUGGUUUUAGGUCAACCAUACACCCACAGUGAUACAGGUAUUUGUCUGAACACAAGAUCAGCCCCACGACCCCAGAUAGACCGUCAGUGCAAAUACUGGAUCCAUGUGAUUGUCAGGAGACAAUCUGAGACGACAUCUGAUCUGGUCCGGGUCCAGCUGGCACUAAUGAAGAAGAGGUCUGUCCGCGGGCAUCCGGGCGCUCUCAGUACACAGCCAUGCCCUCCUGCCACGUCCAGCUGUGGACGCGUGGAGGGUAGUCUGGCUGUGGCACGAGAGACCUGCUGCGGGGCCAGAACACAGGCUGCUGCUGAGACACCAUUACCGAGUGCCCACAGCCGGGAGGAUGCAGGGAGACGGUCUGGGUCUGUGCUGUGGCGUGUGUGAGUGCUUUAGGUAGUGUGUGUGUUGCAGCCUGUGUGUGUUCUGUGGUCUGUGUUUGUGCUGUGGCAUGUGUGUGUAUUUUAGCUUGUGUGUGUGCUUUAGGUAAUGUGUGUGUGAGGGGCUGUAUUUGUGCUUUAGAUAGUGUGUGUGCUUUAGGAAAUGUGUGUGUUGAAGCCCUCUGAGGGUUGAUGUUGCCUCGGCGCAGGGUGUCGUUAUGUGCCUGGAGUGGCAUCCUGUCCUGAGGUCUUGCUUGGAAUGCUGGGAAGUCUAUGCAGGGAUGUGGCAAUGCUGGAGUUGACCGGUGCGAGUGAUGCCUCCCCGCGCAGACGCCCAAUGACCUCUGACCCCUCUUCAGCGCCUCAGGGUAACGCGGGGGCCCCACGCCGUGCGGGUCAGAAACAAACACCCUCACUUCCGUAAGAGGCAGACCCACAGAGUCAGCGAACACCACCCUCUUCUGCCGGGGGCUCCGAUUCUUGCUCCAGCUGCCCAUGGAGGAGGAGGACGAUGAGUAUGUGGAUUCACGACGGUAGAGGAAGCAGGGAAGAAGACGUGACAAAACCAACAUGAACAAUGUGCGCAACUCACAUGUCGUAGAAGUGAUGAAGUGUCCGCUGCUGUUUGUCGGAAAAAAGAUGAACAAGCAAAAAGGUGAGAUGUUCACUUAAUAGUUUCUUUCUUUUCAAGUAACUGAAUCCGUAGUCUUGCCUUUCUAUAAGUAGGUUAUUCCAGGUCUCUUCUGGUCCGUACAGAUAUGUCCGCGCUUAUAAAUGACACCGGGCUCUGCCGACUGUUUGGCGUUUACGUCCCACCCCAAAAAGCCAAUCAUACGGCUAGGUAGUCGUUCCAGCGACCAAUCACAUCAUCAUAAGUUCUAGAAUGGGAGGUGGGAAUACUGUAUUUCUGAAUUUCUACUAAACGUAUCGACACUAUCAGUUUUACCAUGUCAAAUUGUGUGAUUGUAUCAAUUAACUAUUAAACUAUUAAAUUAUCUCGAUCCUGUUUUGCGAUAAGAGUACAUUUUUAUAAGUAUUAUACAUGUGUAUGUGUGUGUGAGAGAGAGAGAGAGAGAAAGAGAGAGAGAGAGAGAGAGAGAUAUGAAGACUAGAG
ensembl:lncRNA